GACAGAGGUCCCGAGCGUUAGGCGGAAUCACUGGGCUUAAAGCGUGUGUAGGUGGAUGCCUAAGUACCUUGUGAAAUCCCACGGCUUAACCGUGGAACUGCUUGGCAUACUGGUUGUCUUGGGCCAUCUAGGGGCGAGUGGAACAAACGGUGGAGCGGUGAAAUGCGUAGAUAUCGUUUGGAACGCCAAUGGUGAAAACAACUCGCUGGGGAUGUGCCGACGCUGAGACACGAAAGCCAGGGGAGCGAACGGG
rnacentral:rRNA from 1 species